GAUGAACGCUGGCGGCGUGCUUAACACAUGCAAGUCGAACGGAAAGGCUCCUGCUUGCAGGGGUACUCGAGUGGCGAACGGGUGAGUAACACGUGGGUGAUCUGCCCUGCACUUCGGGUUAAGCCUGGGAAACUGGGUCUAAUACCGGAUAGGACGAUGGUUUGGAUGCCAUUGUGGAAAGUUUUUCGGUGUGGGAUGAGCUCGCGGCCUAUCAGCUUGUUGGUGGGGUAAUGGCCUACCAAGGCGUCGACGGGUAGCCGGCCUGAGAGGGUGUACGGCCACAUUGGGACUGAGAUACGGCCCAGACUCCUACGGGAGGCAGCAGUGGGGAAUAUUGCACAAUGGGCGCAAGCCUGAUGCAGCGACGCCGCGUGGGGGAUGACGGCCUUCGGGUUGUAAACUCCUUUCGCUAGGGACGAAGCGCAAGUGACGGUACCUGGAGAAGAAGCACCGGCUAACUACGUG
rnacentral:rRNA from 1 species